UAGUAACGGCGAGUGAAGCGGGAUGAGCUCAAGCUUAAAAUCUCCGUGCACGUUGUGCGCGGCGAAUUGUAGUCUAUAGAUGCGUGAUCAGCGCGGGCGCUCGGGGUAAGUUCCUUGGAAGAGGACAGCAUGGAGGGUGAUACUCCCGUUUGUACCUGAGUGUUUUGCGCGUACGGUCCGUGUUCUUUGAGUCGCGUUGUUUGGGAAUGCAGCGCAAAGUAGGUGGUAAAUUCCAUCUAAAGCUAAAUAUUGGUGCGAGACCGAUAGCGAACAAGUACCGUGAGGGAAAGAUGAAAAGAACUUUGAAAAGAGAGUUAAAGAGUACCUGAAACUGCUGAAAGGGAACCGAAUCGUUUCCAGUGUCUAUAAUCUGCGGCAUAUUUCAUGUGCGAGUGCGUGCGUUUCGGCUUUGUGGCAGUGGUCUUUUGUCUGCGCCCGUUGCUGUUUGUGCGUGUGGUUGCGCGUGCCCUGUGCUGUGGUGGGACGUCAAGGUGAGUUCGAAUGCUGCGGGAAAUGGCCGUCGGGGAGGUAGGUCUUAAGCUCUGCUUUUGGCUAUUAUAUCUCGGCGGUUGAGUCGUCGCGGUUGGGACUGAGGUGCCUACAACGUGCUUUUGAGCGCGUGCGUGUCUCUGUGCUUGCGUUGUGCGGAUAGCUUGCUAUGCGCGUGGCGUUGCGUGCGGAUGGAUAUGCGCUGCUGCUUGUUGCCGUUC
rnacentral:rRNA from 1 species